AAUGAAUUGCCUGAAAUUAAAGGAUUAUUUUGAUAGAAUAAAUUAUAUGAUUACAAAUCAUAUUCAUUA
rnacentral:tRNA from 1 species